AAGGUCGUAACAGGGUCUCCGUAGGUGAACCUGCGGAGGGAUCAUUACACAAAUUAUGAAGGCGGGCUGGAACCUCUCGGGGCUUACAGCCUUGCUGAAUUUAUUCACCCUUGUCUUUUGGCGUACUUCUUGUUUCCUUGGUGGGUUCGCCCACCACUAGGACAAAAUCAUAAAACCCUUUUUCGGUAAUUUGCAAUCAGCGUCAGUAACAAAUUAAUAAUUACAA
rnacentral:misc_RNA from 1 species